CUCCUGUGCAGCUUUUGUGAAUCUCUCUAAGCCCAAAGCAAUAGCUGUAGCAGUGGACGUAUGGCACCGCAGGACUUAAUUAAUACAGAAGAGGAGUUUGUAUUUCUUUCUUGCAUGCAAAAAGGGUCACUGAAAACUAGUAAGGCCUUCUUUGCUCAACCUGAACCUAAAUCAACCAUUUAAAGUACUUGUGACCCUCUCAAAAAUGCAGCUUGCCUCCUGGGCCAUUUCCAUGAGCAUCUCACAGAGAUCUUCAUUUCCAGUGAGCAGCACUUGGCUCCUGAAACACAGAUGCAGAGCUGUUUGCAGAUCUACCUUGGAGCAAAAUGCAAGAAGCCUAGGAAAAAGGCCCUCAAGCUCUGCAGAAGUGUUCCCAAGCUUACAGGCAUUUCCAAGGGACACUGAUCCACAUCAUGCAUCUGAACACAUCCCAGGUCCAAGAGGACCACAACAGUUAAGCUAUGCUAAGUACCAAUGUGGGUGAGGAGUGAGUGCCCCAUUCUCUUCUGUCACUUCUGCGAAGGUGGAGGUGAUCUCUGGAAGGGAAAAUAGUACUGUACAUCACCAUGCCCUUAAGACAAGGGAGCAGCAGACAAAGCCCUAUGUGUCUCUGAGAUUGAAGUUUAAAGCACUUUACAACCUUUGGGAAACAAAUUUCAGGAUGCUGCCGGCAAAUUUUAUAGUGGCCUUUACAAAUCUCUCAGGCUGGUGAACCCAAGCAAAGUUAAUCAAGAAUUCUCUGAUGACAAAAAUCACAGCCAUAAGACACAGUAACAACAAGCAUUGCAUUUUUUCUUAAUAAAGGUAAUGUGCCUAUAAUAACAGGUGCUACAUUCAGCACAGCAAACAACACAUUAAAAACAUCCCCAUACUCUAAAAAGACUUGGCUGGUGUGCAAAUAAGCCAUUUUAGAGGAAAGCAAUUGAAAAGGGGACAGGAGAAUGAAAAGUAUUGGAAAGAAACAGAUGUCCUUUAGAGACAACUCUGGAUGUAUUAUCUUAGAGGAAACAAGACCUCUGAGGUUGUUUAGAAGCCAGGAGAGAGAGAGAAACUGAAUGUGAGGAGAGAGAGAGCUGUGUGCCUACAGGCUUUUUGGUACCAAGAUCUGGGGACUUACCGCGGUCCUGAGGGGACAUGGCAGCAGCCUGUCCAGCCAGCUCUCUUCUCUGGGCAGCAUCUUCUCUGCAAAGCCACUUUGGAGGAAUACGUCUAGUUUCAGUGACAGCUGAAGAAAUAGUAAAUAGUAGCAGCAGGGGUGUCUCUUUCCUACCUCAAGAAAUUUACACGACCAGCAGGGUGGGGGUUGUUGUAAAAACUGGGAUUUUAUGUUUUAUAACCAGCCAUGAUCAUAUGGGUAAGCAUAUCUUUAUUAGUCAUAGAAAUAUUUAAAAGACUUUGGAUCCUGCUGAGUCCCUCGCUGUUGUCUCCUCACAUAGUGGUUAUAUGAGCAGACUGAAGGAAAAGCACUCCCUCUGCUUUAACCCCUUCCUUCAGCUGCUUUCCCUCCAGGUGGGAGCAGAGACUUGUGAGUGAAGUUACGUGUUAGGGGCUGACCGACCUUCUUCGUGUCCCUCAGACCUUCUUGGUGUCCCUGUGCUGCACACCCCAGGCCAAAAUACCAGCACAAGUUUGCUUUGCUCCAAAGAGCUCAGUGAGACAGAUGGCAGUGACGACUUUGCCACCAGGUGUCAACGAGGAGAGUAGUAGGAAAGCAACCAGGGAAAGCAGUCACGGGGUGCUGAUAAGACUGGAGUAAUUAUUACGAGGAAGCCCAAACUCAAACAUAAUCCCUCUAUUUUCCAUCAGUGCCCAGAAAAAGUACACGAGGUCUUACAUCUACCUGGGUGCAGCAACCUGAUAAAAUGACAGUAGCCAUCCCCAUCCUGUGAAUGUCAUCGGGAGCUGUAGAAACAUAAAGAAGAGAAACACAAAAGCAGGAGCCUUUUCAAGCCUGAGGUAUGCCUCAGGGUGAGAAAGGUGCAGGAGGAGCACUGAAUGCCCAGCUCAACACCAGCAUUUUUCAACCUUAAUCUUUCUUCCAAAUGUUCUACUUUUAUUCCAACUAAUUGAACGAACAUCUUAAAAUUCACAACAUAAACUAAAUCUGAUUAAAUCUAGCUUGACUCGUAUGAUAUAGCACUGCAGCUAGAAUGCAGCUGGAAAAAAUGCAUUAUGCUAGGACAAAUAAGUAUGGUUAACUUCAAUAAGAGCAGAGGUAAAUUGCUUUUUGCGUGAGAUGCGCAAUUUUACCUUAGUGCAGCUUUAAUCAAAGUAAAAUAUUAUAGGUGGAGGGGAAAAAAACCUCACAAUGUAACAUUUUCUCUACUAACCACUCAGUGAAACUCAAGUUCAAGCUACUAAAUAAAGCCAGGUCUGUACCUUAGCUUUCCUUGGUUAGCAUGUAUACCUUUAAGACAGUAUCCAGCAAUAAAUUAUACCAGAUGCAGAUAGUCAAUGCCCAUAAAACCUAUCCAUCAGAAAUUUAUCUCCACUGAAACUUUAAUUGGAAGGGGAAGAAUGAAAUUAAGUACAGAUAUUUAAAUGUAGUCCGUCGUCUUACAGCAGUGCUUUCACAGCCAAGUGGAAAACAAAGUAAAUUAAGCAUAGCUAUUAAACAGGAUAGGAAGUAUUAGCUUUGCACUUGCAGGAAAGGAAUGUUACUCUUUGCUCUCUCUUUGCUUUUUGGUUGUCCAUAGCUGCUUUUAUAUGUACCAAUCCUGGGUACUCUGAAUUUCUGCUUAUGGCCCUCUGAGACCUAUCUUUUAAGCUGGAGGGAAAGCUAAGACAUGCUUGGUUUUUUUUUUUUUGUUUUUUUUUGUUUUGCUUUGUUUUGUUUGUUUUGUUUUGUUUUUUUGGGGGGUUUGUUUGUUUGUUUGUUUUGCCAACUUUGGUAUGCUGCUGUCAUUCCCUGCUUUACCUCUGCAGAUUCCUGCCUGGGGCAGAACAGACUUACAUACAGCCCUUUUCUCAUAGGCUGGUGUAAGGGACACAUCAAGUUGUACCAUCAUCUAGAUUGCUCCAAGCCAGAGGAUGGUGUAGCUGCGAUGCACUACAGCUCAUCCCGGGUGCUGGGAAAAGGGCUGAUAUUUGGUUACACUGAGCACUUCUCUGUGGACAGGACAGGAAAAUGCUGACAUCAUCUGCCAAGAAAGCCUCAAAAGGGUCUCGUACUCAUAUCCUUCUGCAGGAACGUACUGCAUGGCAUGUAAUCUGUGGGUACUCAUAGUCUCCAAGGGGACAUCUGAUUAUAUUAAAGGUGGAUGACACACCAGACCUAUGCUUCCUUACUCAACGUGAGGCUGGAGAAGAGUCUUCCAGCUCCAGUGCACCAUCUUUUUAGAAAUUUACUCUUUAGCUUGCCACAUGGAUACCAUAAUCAGUCACUGUAACUUUAGAAGAGAAAACAACACUGGAGGCUUGGAGUCAUCAAACUUCGUGCUGAUGAAUCAUCAGGCUGCAGGCUUCUGAUAUAAAAAAAAAUUAAAGAAGCCCUACACUGCUUGGGCUUGAGGAAAAUGAGUGAAGUUUUGUGACACAGGUCGUGAUCCACACCGUGCUGCCUCCGGGCUGACUGAUUGCAUAAGGAGAGCUGAACUUACUCAGAUCGGAACAGGAACAAAGACUGUACAAGGAUCAGAGGUGCCUGCUGACCACCACCGUGGUCACUGUAUCCUUUCUGGCCCCCAACUCCUGGCACAACUGAGGAAGGGCACCAAAGGGCAUAGGAAGGUACGGUGGAGGGUGGUGUUUCAACCCCCAGUUCUGGAUGGCCCCACCACGGGACAUGCAGCAACAUAGCCAUCAAAAAUGUACUGGGAAAACUAGUAAGGGUAGCUCUCUAUCACACAGCGUCACAUGCAAAAAGAAUGAAUUAAAGCAAAUAUAUAAAGACCGGAGUUUCAUUAAAUAUCCAGUAGCUGCGAAGAUAAGAGUUUGUUAGACAGAGGGCAGUCUGGAUAGUUUAGUACCAAGGACCUCAUGCAGUCAUUUCCCAGAACACAAGGGGUUUGCUGUCUCAUCACUCAGCACAGUUUUUACUGAUUUUAAGGCCGAAAACAUCUUAGCCCAGAUUUUAUGUGAGGUUUGUAUCUUCUUGGGAGCAAGGGAAGGAAGUACAUAACACCCUCUGGUCUCUUCAAGUACAGAACUGUUUAUACAAAAGCUAAUUCUGACGUGAUGGAAAGGUCCCAUGUGCUCUCAGAAACGUGUGUUAGGAUCCAGAACUACCUCAUCCUGUGACAGUCCCUCCCCAAACCCGUCCCAGUAACACUCCACAACCCUGAUCACACUCACUCCUAACAAGUGGACUGGCAGCAAUGGAUGAUUACCUGGGUCACCUCCAUUGGGGCAGUCCCUUCAAGGUGCAGAGGACCUAUUUCAAUUUUGGUGUGGUUUGCUUGUCCUGGGGUCACCAGGAUUGCAGAAUUAGCCCUUGACACUCUACAG
rnacentral:lncRNA from 1 species